ACUGACUCACAUAUUCCAAGAAAUAGACUGUACUCUCAUCAAAUAGAAAUAACGGUACUUUAAUUCUUGGAUUUUUCCACAUUUUCUUUGUGUAAAGCUCCUAUUUGUUUUUCUGAAUCUGUUACAGUUCGUGCAGUUCUGCCAAGGGGGAAAGCUUUGCAGGACAUUACAUCUUUAGCACUUGAAAUAUUAAGAUCUACAGAGCAUGGAAAAGGUGGAAAAAGUAGAGGGAUUGUAUGUCCUUUGGACAUUCAUGUAGACCUGGCAGUGGGAGGAGAAAAACACAACGAAGCAUAGUUUGAGUGUUGAACUGGCUUUCCCAGGAUCCCCAGAAGCCAUAACCUCCAGGAGAGGACUGCCUUUUCUAGGAGAACAUGGGAGGCAGCUUAGCAUUUUGGAAAGGGCUCAGGACUCAAAAUUCAGAUCUGGGUUGAGAUUCUUCCUCUUACACUUACUAACUGUGGGA